UUGGACCAUUUUAUUUAUGUUACAAAAGGUCCACAAUUAUACAUUUUUUGGAUAGGCCCCAAAAAAUGACCGAUCAACUUAUAAAGAAAAUGAGAAGUUUCUUAAAACAUAAAAGGCAUCAGAUUGGGAAAGAGUACCAAAUACUCUUGUUUCUCUUCUGCCACCGCCUCAUUUGACCCAUAGUUCCUUCAAAUUGACCUCAACCCUUUCUCUGGUACUUGUGAAUGUUCUUUAAACUUGAGCCUUGCGUGAGUGGUUUUGAGCUCUGUCUAAUGAUUCCUCCAAACUCUAGUGAGUUUUCUUUCAUUUUGAGAUCUCCUUGAAACUUCAACCAUGAUAACUUCUGCCAUGAACUCAGGGGGUCGGGGUUUGUUCCCUAGGAAAAAAGUGUGCUACCCCUUCGAUUCACACUUUUCUGAAAGCAUCUCCUCCAAAUAAUAUUUAUUUGUGACCCUUUUAGCUUCUUUCGACUAAUUUUUGAUAUCAUACCCAGGGGCUGCUGUUGGAUCUGCUUUCUCCUUACUGGUUCAAAGCAAUCUGAGGUUCUGAAGUGCGAGAUCUAGAGCACCUUUAGCAGUCCAGACUCAAUCAGCAGCAGUAGACGUAGCAAUGAGUCCUCUUCAUUCAAGGAUGAUCCUUAUUUUAUUAUGGCAUUAGACUCAAUUAUUUUUAGUAAACGAAGUUAGUUGGGGACAUGUCCUAUCAACUCUAUAGUUCAGACAAGUUUAGAGGCUUUUCGGAUAGAUGUAUUAGUAUUCAAUUUUCAGUAUUGAGUAUUUUUAGAUAUUUGAACCUUAUGGCAAGUUUCCACCAAUUUUAUGCAUUUAUUUCAGUAUAUUAUGCAGUGCUCAGGUACAAAUAUCAGAAAAGGGUUAUCUUGUGGUCCUUCGGGAUCAUGAGCACCGUGUGGCAUUUCGGUUUUAGAAAAUUGAAGGUUACAAACUUUAUGUAACACCCCAACUUAGGAAAAAGAGUCCCAUAUCGAUAAAACAUAGGAGGAAUGUUGGGUAUAUAAAUAAGUAAGCAUUACUCUCUAGUGACGCGUUUUAAAAUUGGAUGGGCGUGGGCCCAAAAUAAAUAAUAUCACUAGUGGGUUGGGCAGAGACAGGGGUCUCUCGGGCCUUCGUGGUUUGGGAUGCCUAUCGCAGCCAGAUCCUCAGCUCGAGUUGUGACAAAAUGGUAUCAAAGUCGCUCCUGUGUCGGUCCUGUUGAUGUGGGCUAGAGUUUAAACUUAGUGUAGCUGAAUCCCGGUAAGGCGGGACAAACCUCAGUCCUGAGUGUAGGCAAAUCCCAUUUGGUGGGGCAAACCUCAGCGAGGACACUGAGUCCAUAAGGGGGGUGUAUGUAACACCCCAACUUAGGAGAAGAAAUCCCACAUCGGCAAAAGACAUGAGGGAUGUUGGGUAUAUAAGUAAGCAAGCCUUACUCUCUAGUGCCGCAUUUUAAAGUCGUGGAGGCUUGGGCCCAAAGUGAAUAAUAUCACUAGUGGGUUGGGCAUAGAUAGGGGUCUCUUAGGCCUUCGUGGUUCAGGAUGCCCAUAGUGGCCAGGGCCUCGGUUCGGGUCGUGACAUAGCAUUACUCUAAAAAAACUUGGUAAAGAUUUUGUGAAUCUAAUUAAUAACCGAAACAGGAGGAUACAUAGUAAAUAAUAAAUAUAUAGGUAUAGACUAUAACACAUGAGCUAUUAAUAUAUAUCUUCCUCCAAAGGACAAUAGUUUGUUUUGCCACAAGCUUAAUCUUUUCAUUACCUUCUUAACCAAAUCCUCAAAGUAGCACUUUUUCUUUCUCCCAUAAAAAACAAGACAUCCUAUAUAGGUAAAAGGAAAAGAACCCCGAGAAAUGCCAGUUAUUCUUUUAAUUUUUAAACACAUACCUAUAGGAGUCUUUUCAUGAAGAUAGAAUAACCUUUUGUCUAGAUUAAUCAACUAUCUUGAUAUUUUCUCAUACUCCUUGAGAAUCUUUAUCAUUUUCUUAGGCAUAAGAGAGGUGAUUAAUUUUAGGGCUCCACUUAGGUAUAACAUAUCCUUUAAAUAAAGGAUUAUCAAACAACUUAUUUAAUCUCCUAGCUAAUACUUCAGCUACAAUGAUGAAGAGAGUAGAAGACAAAGGGUCCCCUUGUUUCAGCUACAAUGAUGAAGAGAGUAGAAGACAAAGGGUCCCCUUGUUUCAAUUCCCUAGAUGAUUGAAUGAAACAACAUGACAACCUAUUCAUCAAAACGGAGUACCAAUUAUUACAAAGUAGUCGUACAACCAUAUCUAUAAUUCUUUCAUAAAAACCAAAUCUUCUCAAAACCAUAAUCCGAAAUUUUCAGGAAACCCUAUCAUAGGCCUUUUCCAUGUCCAGUUUAACCCCCACAUUCUGUUCUUUGUUCCUUAAAUUAAUGUCCCUUAUUAUUUCUUGUGCCAUCAACACAUUCUAGUUAAUACUCCUACCCUUCACAAAACCACUUUGAUUGGGAGAGAGGAUACCAGGAA